rnacentral:misc_RNA from 1 species
CCAAAAUAAAUCAACAAUUGUGAAUUGUGAAGGUGCGGUGGCGCACACUGGGAAGCCAACGGUACAGUGACCUACGAUGGGUAAGAUGUGAAACCUCUCAAUCUAGAGACUGCUUUAUAAUCUGCGAGCAUCAAACUGCAAUAUGUGUUUCUUGGGCGUUUUACAUUCACUACCAACCGCUAUCUUUCGUCCGCCUGCAAUAUACGCUUCAAAUACAAGGAAAUAUGGCUGGUUGAGAGCGAAUAUCAAUGGUGAAACUGACCCAUUACUCGAGACAGCCAUGAAAGCAGCAUCACUUCGUUUCCAGGAGACGCAUAGGCCAGGCAUAUCCCUUGCCGUUAUUUUCUACGUAUUACGUGAUUUCUUUUCAUUCAGGCAUUAUAUCGAGCAGCUAACUGAGAGUGAAACACGAUUGUUUGGCUACUUCAAAUGGAAGCAAGAAUUCAAGAUUUUAGGCAUUAUCCAUUACAACUUCAAUUGAGAUUUAAUUUUCAUAUAUCAGUGCUCAUGUGUUUUUCAUAUAUUGAAUAUAAAUGUCAGUAUUUAUAAUUUUUAAUUCACAUAAAGAUUCUCAUCUCUUAUUGCAUAUAUUUAUCUAUGUUCCAAUACAUUCUGGAUUCUUUAAGAAUAUACAAGUUGUGUCUCUUAAUGAGUACUGAUGUAGCAUGCAUCAAUGCUUCACCAUGCAGAGCCGCUUUUUGUUGAUCCAUAUGCUGGUUGCUUGAUUGAUCCUACUGUACAGAUGGAUUUGAAGAAGUACCCUCACCAUUAUUGCCUUGCAACAAAAUUCAUUGAUGACAAGUUACUGCAUACAGUGAACAAUAUUGAUGGACUCAAGCAGGUUGUUUUGUUUACAGAUGGGAUGGACACUCGACCAUAUAGGCUAAAUUGGCCAACUUCUUCUAUAAUAUUUGAUAUAUCUCCAGAAAGGAUAUUUAAGAAAUCAGAUGAAAGGCUUAAAGGUGUUUAAUAUUUGACUAAUUUUAACUGGUCCAUGAUCUUCUAAGUGCAUAAUUUUGCUAGAGAGGAUAACAUGUUUAGAUUGUGAUUUUGUCAAUGUUGUGAGGGUUGGUUUUCAGAAACAAACUGAAAACCACUGGCAGUAUUUACAUUUGCUUAAUGCAGUAAAGUAAGGUUGCAUUCAUUUGAAGAAAGAGUUCUUUAUCGUUCAGGAUAUUGUAAAAGUUUCAGAAUUUCAAAAGAAUACUCUUGGCAUAAUCUUGACAACAUCUGAAAAUCUGUGCUCUGCAAAAUUUCUUCUGGUUUGGAUAAUAAAUUCAUUCUCAGUUCAAAUAAGUACUACAAUGUCAUGAUGGUAUCUUCUCAAAGAUAUUAGGUGUUGGAGCUAAGAUUCCAAGAAAUUGCAUGUUCCUUCAUGUUCCAUUGGAGUCCUCUAAUAUACAACAGAAUCUGCAAGCAAAAGGCUUCAAUGGUAAUGAGCCAAGUAUAUGGGCCAUUCAGGGACUGUCCAUUAUGACUUUGGCCAGUUUAGAAGAAAUUUUGUUCAUUGUUAGUAGUUUGGCUAUGAAUGGAUGUCUAUUAUUGGGAGAACUGCCUGCAUUAUUGGCAGAAACCGAAAUUGGGAGGAAGUCCAGCACAGAGAAAUGGAUAGACAAACUUUUCAUGACCAAUUGUUUUCGGGUGGACGUGAUUAGCUAUGAUGAAGUUGCAAGUAGUUUGGGCAAGGAAUUAGCAACAGGAGACUACAAGAAUAUACUUUUUGUUGCAGAACAGUUGCGAUUUUCAGAUGAUCAGAUGGAAACCUGGAGGAGAGAAUUCCAGAGGAUAGAGGAAGAAGGGGAUGAAGAAGGGUUUGAGGAACUCUAAAUGUGUUAAGAGGGUGAUAAGAACCUAAUGAAAUAUAUCAUCUUUUAGUGGUUCCACUAGUUUCUGAGCCACCUCAUGAAAUUGAUGUGUAAAUAAUGCAUGUACAAUUUUCUGCAUCCGAGGGGCCAAAAGCCCUGAGGGACCGAAAUGGAAACAUGGGUCAUGUCCUUGUUUUUCCCCGUCUUCCUUGUGUAAUUUUGAUUCAGGGUAUUUUAUAGAAGAAAG